UGCUGAUGCGGAGUCUGGGCUGCGUGUCCCCUAAGGACGGCGUCCCUGCUGUCUCAGAAGAGAUGCCCCGGUUUUAUAAGAAAUACUCUUUAAUAUCUCCGUAAUGACGUCCAUAGAGAAUUAUCACCUGCUCAUGCUCCAAAUUUCAAAAAGCAGGUGCCUCGCUGGAUUUGGCCCACAGAACGCAGUUUACUGACCCUUGGUCUGGGGCAGCCCCUUCAGUUUACAGGGUGGGCCUACGGCGGACAUUCAGCACCCGGGCCAGAGGACAGAGCCUGAUGGGGCCAGGCCCUCCAGUCUCAGCACCAGGGACCCCUGGACCUCUGGGAUCUGCUUGCUCCUGGGCCUGGAUGUGAGACCAGUGCCUCCCAGACCUGCGGUUCGGGGCCAGUUUUGUUUCUUUUUUUCAGUUCAUCAUGGGCUGAUAGUUCUGUAAAAUACAGUAAAUAUGGAAGUGGGGAAAUGGAGACGAAGAGACAUGUAACAAACAUUAUUAGAUUCAACGG
rnacentral:lncRNA from 1 species